AGGUCAUUGGUGAAAUCCAACGGCUCAACCGUUGAACUGCCGAUGAAACCACCUGGCUUGAGGACGGGAGGGGAGAGUGGAACUCUUGGUGUAGCGGUGAAAUGCGUAGAUAUCAAGAGGAACGCCGGUGGCGAAAGCGACUCUCUGGACCGUUCCUGACACUGAGGCGCGAAAGCUAGGGGAGCAAACAGGAUUAGAUACCCUGGUAGUCCUAGCUGUAAACGAU
rnacentral:rRNA from 1 species